rnacentral:rRNA from 1 species
UACGGAGGGUCCAAGCGUUAUCCGGAUUUAUUGGGUUUAAAGGGUGCGUAGGCGGCCUAUUAAGUCAGUGGUGAAAGCCUGCAGCUUAACUGCAGAACUGCCAUUGAUACUGAUGGGCUUGAGUACAGUUGAGGUUGGCGGAAUGUGUCAUGUAGCGGUGAAAUGCUUAGAUAUGACACAGAACACCGAUUGCGAAGGCAGCUCACUAGGCCUGGAUUGACGCUCAUGGACGAAAGCGUGGGGAGCAAACAGGAUUAGAUACCCGUGUAGU